AUUGAACGCUGGCGGCAUGCCUUACACAUGCAAGUCGAACGGCAGCACGGGAGCAAUCCUGGUGGCGAGUGGCGAACGGGUGAGUAAUAUAUCGGAACGUGCCCAGUCGUGGGGGAUAACGCAGCGAAAGCUGUGCUAAUACCGCAUACGAUCUAAGGAUGAAAGCGGGGGAUCGCAAGACCUCGCGCGAUUGGAGCGGCCGAUAUCAGAUUAGCUAGUUGGUGGGGUAAAGGCUCACCAAGGCGACGAUCUGUAGCUGGUCUGAGAGAACGACCGGCAACCAUGGAAAGGAGAAACGGACCAGUCUCCUACGGGAGGAGUCAGUGGGGAAUUUUGGACAAUGGGCGCAAGCCUGAUCCAGCAAUGCCGCGUGCAGGAUGAAGGCCUUCGGGUUGUAAACUGCUUUUGUACGGAACGAAACGGCCCUUUCUAAUACAAGGGGCUAAUGACGGUACCGUAAGAAUAAGCACCGGCUAACUACGUGCCAGCAGCCGCGGUAACAC
rnacentral:rRNA from 1 species